GUGGGGAAUAUUGGGCAAUGGGGGAAACCCUGACCCAGCAACGCCGCGUGAAGGAAGAAGGCUUUCGGGUUGUAAACUUCUUUGACGAGGGAAGAUAAUGACUGUACUUCGAAAACAAGCCACGGCUAACUACGUGCCAGCAGCCGCGGUAAUACGUAGGUGGCAAGCGUUGUCCGGAUUUCCUGGGUGUAAAGGGCGCGUAGGCGGGAUGGAAAGUCAGAUGUGAAAUACCGAGUCUCAACCUCGGGGCUGCAUUGGAAACUGCUGUUCGUGAUGGAUGGAGAGGCAGGCGGAAUUCCGAUUGUAGCGGUGAAAUGCGUAGAUAUUAGGAGGAACACCAGUGGCGAAGGCGGCCUGCUGGACAUUAACUGACGCUGAGGCGCGAAAGCGUGGGGAGCAAACAGGAUUAGAAACCCCUGUAGUCC
rnacentral:rRNA from 1 species